GGUCUCGUGGGGAGGCUGUCUCAGGUCACCUGGCCGCCCUCUCCUGGGGCACUCAGUCCUCUGUUACCCUCUAGGGGAUCCGGCUGUUCUUACAAAUGCUUGGAGGAGAGCCGCCAGGGAGGCUGAGUGGGUAGCAGUUAUUUCCAGAAGAUAGGUUUUAUUAUUUUCAAGCAUAUUCGCGAUUCCUGCCAGCUUCUCAGGAAAGCCCAACCUUGGAGGGACCCUUCCUCUGCGAGGAGGCGGCGAGUGAGCGUGGGUGUGUGUGCGUGCUCACCACACAGUUGGCAUCCUGUGGGGCAGCUCAGAUACAGGCGGAGCAAGGCCCUGCUGGAGGCACCUGCCCUGCGGUCACACAGCACACACCUGAAACCACAGCCCCGGAAACCACCGCCAGGGAACUGGAGCAUCCCAGCCCCGCCCCCCGAGGCCCCGCCUCACACCCCACCAAGCCAAGAGGCUUCCUUGGCGGAGCCCCUCUGCCUCCUCCUGUUCCCUUCCCGUCUCCCUUCCAACCUCUUCCUCCCAUCCCGUCCCCGUGCUCCUGGGAAGAAGCUCCACUGUUCCAUCCUCACCUCCUCCUGUCUGCGCUGCCUCCCACGUCUCACACAACCGCUGUGCUCACGUCCACACCACUCACAGGCACACAUACCACACACGCAUGCACACAUACCACAUGCAUGCACACACCAUCACAUCACAUACACCAUCACACACACACACUUUAUCACACAGGCACAUAUACCACAUGCACGCAUACACACAUACACAAUCACAAACACACCACACACAUCAAACACAGAUACACAGACUAUCAGUCACACUCACAUCAUACACACACCAUCACACACCACACACUAUCACACAGGCACACACACCACAUGCACACAUACAUACACCAUCACACCACACAUCAGAUACACAGACUGUCACACACAGUCACACACAUAGCACACACACAUGCACAUACACACCAUCACACACACCACACACAUCAAACACAGAUACACCAUCACACACAGGCACACACACUAUCACACACACACAUCACACACGCAUGCAUACACACACCAUCACACAUCAGAUACACAGACUAUCACGCACACACAUCAAACACACCAUCACAUACCACACACAUCAGAUAUACACACCACACUUAUACAGACACACGUAUCACACGCACACACACCACACACAUCAGAUACACUAUCACACACAGACUCACACAUUUAUCAUACAGGCACACAUACCACACACAUAUCACACACAUUCACACACUAUCCCACACUAUUACACACAUACCACACGCAUUAUCGCACACAUGCACACCCCAUCACACACCCCAUCACACACACACCCCACCACUAUACGCAUACCACUACACACAGCAUCACACAUGCACACACCAUUACACACACACCAUCACAGCACUGCACAUCCCGAGAAGUCCUGGCCCAGCCUCCCCUCCACACUCGUUCAUUGAGCACCUGCUGUGGGCCCCAUCCUGCCCUGGGUGCUGAGCUUGCAGAUCUGUGUGAGGCUCAGUCCUGACCCUCAGAGAGCUUACAGUCUAGGAGGGGAGACCGACAUACAGACAAGGGCCACAGAAGGAGGGGGUGUGGCCGGGUUGCAGCCUGAGGUGGGCACACACACGGUGUGGCCCAUUCUUUAGAGGGGGCAAGGGUGGGAAGGCUUCCUGGAGGAGGGAGCCUGAGUAGCCAGUGCUCACUGGGCAAAGCAGGGCUCCUCGGUGGAGGGAGGAAGGUCUCUAAGCAAGAAGCUAGGCAUAGCACGAGGAAACGGGAGAAGAGUAAGAGCGGGGGCGUUCAGUGCAGUGUGGGGCCCAGGGAGGCUGGAGAGAGGCUGGUGUUGGCCUCAUCAGUUGCAUCUGUGUGCCGAAGCCACUCUGACCCCUCCAGCUCACGUGGACACGCGGGGGCUCCCAUCCACGCCCCGAUCCCCUGCCUCAGGUGGCCUGGGUGCUGCCGCUGGCUUCUUCCUACUCCCUGGGACUCAGAAAGAGGGGGAGACAGAGAGCUCACAUUCUGAAAGGUGAGAUCAUCUCACUUCUGCCAGUUCUUGGAAAAGUUAUUCGUUCCCAGAAAUGUUUAUUAGUCACCCUUUUGUUGAAAGACAUUUUGGCACCACCAGAUGGAAAAAUCAAAAUGCUUCUCACAGGACGAUUUGUCUCAAGUAUUCCGCCUGACAUCCCACAAGGAUGAUUUCUGAGGAUACAACUCAAGGAGGAUGUUCUGUUGGCAUCUGUGGGGAGAAGCCAGAUCUGUUCAGCUGUGUGUGUGUGUGUGUGUGUGUGUGUGUGUGACUGUGUAUGAGAGUGUGUCUGUGUGUGACUACGCAUGUGUGAUUGUGUUCGUGACUGUGUGUGACUGCGUGUGUGACUGGGUGUGUGGCUGUGUGACUCUGCGUGUGUGAUUGUGUUUACGACUGAGACUGUGUGUGACUGAUUCUGUGACUGUAAGUGUGACUGUGUGAGACUGUGUGACUGGGUGUGUGGCUGUGUGACUAUGCGUGUGUGAUUGUGUUUGUGACUGUGUGUGUGACUGAGACUGUGACUGUGAGUGUGUGACUGUGUUACUGUGAGUGUGUGACUGUGGCUGUUUGUGACUGUGUGAGACUGUGUGUGUGUGACUGUGCUCUCUUGGGGGUCCGUGGAAGCAGUGGGCCUGGGGACCUGAGCAGAAUUCUGAUUUGCAUCACCAUACCGUCUGCGUGCCCCGGUACCUCCAGAACCAGUGGAAACCAAGUAGAGGGCUUGCCCAGCCAACAACUAUUCCCUCCCGCUGCUGGGACCCGGACUGGGCACAUCACAGCCUUGAUGCUCAUCCUUAUUUAAUCUCCACACACACCUUGUGAGGGAGGGAUUUUCAUUCCUGUCAAUAGGACGCUGAGACUCAACAAGAUAAAAUACUCUGCGCGGGAUUAGGUACUCCACGGCUGAGACCUUGCUUCUCUCCCACACCCGGGAGGCCAGGCUUUGGCAGCAGGAGUAGGCGCGGCAGUCCUUUAGAACACUCAAGAACUGGGACCCCAUCGGGGCCACUGACUCUGGAUGAGCCUUGGAGGAGAGACCACAGAGACAUCUUCAUGGGCAAACAGGCGGGAGCGGGCACCGUGGUGCUGGGGAUGUCCGAGAUGAUGGAGCAGAGGCACUGGGCAUAGUGGCAGGGAUGUUGGUGGUAGCGGGUGGUGGUCCAGAGGUGGAUUGGUGAUGGGCAUGGCUGUGUGUUCGAGGAAGCUUCCAGGAAGACCCCUGAUGGUGAGGGGGGAGACCUAGUUGGCAAUGGAGGCAGGCAUAGAGAAGAGGCAGUGGUGGGAAUGACCGUAGCUCACUAUGGAGCUGAUGUGGGUCAGUGUGUGGUGGGCGGUGGUGGAUGGAUCCCGGUCCUGGCUCAGCCCUUGUCCAGUCGCUCAGGCUGGGAAUCAGAUGAGCCGGGGAGGGGAGGGUCUCACCACUCCCGCCUCUUGUCUCCAGCUAGCCUCAGGGACACGGGGCCUCUCAGCAAAUGACGGACUCUUCCCCCUCAGCAGCACCCUCUCUCCUUUUCUUGACCUUGGAGUCAAUGGCUAUUCCUGAUCGGGCUCAAUCCCUUCAAGUGUGGAAAGCUGGACAGGUUAUCAGCCCCUUUGUAGGGAUGAAGUUACUAUGUCUUGGAUGUGGGCAGAGAUGUUAGAGGAGCACCCUGGGGGCUGUCCCCCAAGGUCAGGGCCCCUGCUGUGGGCCCAGAGGCAGCUGAUGUGAUGGCUGCGAAAGGCCACCUCUCCCGAGCUUGCCCCCCUGUCCAGGGACAGGACGCAGACCAGCCAGCAGCACGUGGCAUGGUGUUUCGGAGACUUGCUGACCCUUCCCUGGGGUCACCGGCCCCUGGGGAAUCCUCUGAUUUCCCCCACCAGAUGUGACCCCCCCCCCGAGUGCCAGCCCCAUAUGGAGGCCAGAUGUGGAGCUGGGCCCGCGUGAGUCAGUCUGAGGUCGUGGAAUGCGGGUGACCACCAGGUUGGCCAGGGAAGGCCAGUCGGUCCCCAUGACAGCUCGACAGAAAAGCCCCAGAGCCCACAGGAAGCUUGCUCUGGUGAGAGCCCGGUGGGGGCAGGGUGCUGUGAUGCUGGGGUCUCCAGGCCCAGGAGGCUCUGGGGGGAUGCGGCCCUUCCCAGCACAGCGACUUGCCAUCCCGCAGAGCGGGAGCCCUGAGGGGAGAGAUGGGCCCCAGAAGGGCCCUCCCUGGGAUCUGGGCAGCUUUCUGGCCCUCAUCUGCUCCUUCCCUGGAGCUUCCUCUUGUCUCUCCCGAUGCUGUUUUCCUCUCCUCUGAGCAUCCUGUUUUUAGGAAGGAGGGGUGGGGAGAGAGGGCUCUAAGGGGCCACAGAGGCAUCUGAUGAACAGUAUCUCCUGCCCUUUUACAGAUGGGGACACCAAAGCUCAGAGUAGGGGUGGGGUGGGGAUCUGUCCAAGGUGCCCGGAGUGUGGGGCUGGGGACACCAGGCGGGAAAGGCUAGUCUUCUCCUGGCUCAGCCGUGCCCUGUGUCUCCGUGACCACAGAGAUCUUCUCCCGACGCAGAGCGCGGGUGGGCAUUUCGUGAGGUGUACCCGCUGGCUCUCCCCUGGGAUGAGUGCCUUUGGCACUGAGGACCUCAGCACCCCCGCCAUUGUUCCUGGGUUUCCUUCCUGAGGCCUGUCUCAAAGUCUUCACAAACCUAUCAGCUCAGUUCUGCCUGUGCUGGGCUCAGGCCUCUGAGAUACCAUGGGGUACCCGGGGGGGGACCCCAGCCUCCCAAGUAGUCUACAGGAGCUUUGGGGGGCAUCUUUGCAAGCCCUGACCCCUGAGUCAGUUCAUCCGGCAGCGCUCAGCUCUGCCCCCACCCUGCUGUGGCCCCCAGGUCUCAGCUCCUUCCUUCAGGUCUCCUCAGGGAAGCAGAUUUUGAAGAUGGCUUGACUUUUAGGAGCUGACGAGUUCCGAGCCAAGUCCCGUGUGUAGAGAGUGCAUGGAUGCUAACCCCACACGGGACAGGGCUCCACACCAGGGUGCCCUGGGAGCGCCCUGGAAAUGCCAGCCCGGCUUGCGGUGAGGGGAUGCUCUUGGCUGUCAGGCAAAGGGGCUCGCUGGAGGUGGCACCUUGGUGGAGAAAUGGGCGGUCUUUGAGAGGUUCUCAGCCGGGCCACUCCCGCUCUGUGGAGUGGUAUUAAUAUACAUCUGCAGGCCUGGUGGGCCUCUGGCUGAAACACCUUCCACACCAAGCCUUCUGGGAGCCCCGGAGGGAGCUGAAGGUGGACUGGAUUGAGCCCAUGCCAAGGGAGGCUGGCUUUCUCACUUUCCCUCCUCCAGAGGCUGGGCCCCCAUUGCUGCUGAGGGCGCUGGCCUCGGGGCGGUUGGGGGGACGCUCACUGCUCCACCCUCCUACUGGGUGGUUCUCGAUGGCAUGUCCCGCGGGCCCAGCCCUCACCGAUGCCUUUGUUCAGGGAGCUGGUUGGCUGCUCCAGCCAGCCUCGGAGCACUGGGGCUGAGCCAGAGGUGGGAGGGCCUCGGGGGAGGGGAGCACUGUCCACCCUUCAGGAUGACUCUGACAGCCAUGUCCCUGCCUCUGGUGGGCCCAGCCCCUUAAAGGGUCGGGGGGACAAGUGUGGAAUUCGGAGGCAGGAGAAGGAGGCGGCUGCGGCUUCCUCCUUGGGCAGCAGGCUCUCCCCCAGGCUGCUGUGCUGGAGGCAGCAGCCUGCAUCCCGAGGGCACCCCAGCUGGGGCAGAGCAGGGCCCAGAUCCACUCCCUACUUAAGCCUCUUGCUAAGAAGGGUGCCAGUCCCCGAUCUCUUCUCACUGCUGAGCCUCACGGUGCAGAGCUGGACAGGCCAGGCCUGACUGUGCCCACCUCCCAGGGGACAGGGCUGGUCUCCUCCCCAAGGGUCUGGCUCUCUAGGACCUCCAGGACCUAGCAGGGGAAACUGAGGCAGCAUCCACACUGCUUUCAGUUCUGAGAGAGAGGGUCAUCCUGUUCUGUCUUUGGUUGAGGGGAAACCUUCAGCCAGCUCUACGUUGGGUGUCCUCAUGUUGUCUAAGUCCUGGGGCAGGGCCCCGGUGGCAGGCACAUGGCAGGAGAUCCCUGAGGACUCCUGAGGGCAGCGGUGGCAGUUGCCAGGCCUGGCCACAGUGAGCCUCCAGCCCUCUGCCUUGUUUGAUAUAGACUGGGCAGGGGCCACGGUGACCCCCCGUCCCGGGUGUGGCGGCCCCCUCUCCCACACUCCCCGGCAAGGAGUCAGGAGAGGGCAGAUGAGCAUCACUGAGACCAAGCCUUGGCUCUGGCGGCCCUUCCUCCCUUCGCAGGGCCUGGGAAGCAUGUGCUCAGAGCUGCAUUUCAGGAAAGCAGCUGCAGCUCGUGACACGCUUUCCACAGCGGGAGAUUUAUGGGGCUGUGCGGCUUUCAUGGUUUCUGUGGGGUUCCUAUUCUCCCCCUCAUUUGUCCUGGCCGCUGUCUCCGAGGCAGAUGGGUGACAAGCCUCCCCUAGCUGGACCGGCCCAACAGGAAGGUAUGGCUGUGUAGGGGAGGGGAGAGGCUGACCACCUCAGCCUCCUUCGGAGGGGGAAGCUGCUGGGAGCCACUGGGGGCCCACCUCGAGCAGCCCAUAAAUCUGCGAGACCUCCAGGAGGUAGGAAGCCUCCCCGCGGAGGUGUCCCACACACUUAGGCCUUGCCAGGGAAAGGAGAAGGGCCAGCAGCCCCCAGAGUCUGUGCUGCGGCCACUCCCCCAGGGCCCAGCCUGCAAGUUGUUUAUUCGGGGCUGGGCCUUUCCCGCCCUGUGUCGGUUCCCAACAGGCAGAUGAAUGGGCAGCAUCUAUAACUUCUGCACCGGCCGGACAGCUUUCCUACAACCUGGCCCGGGCGGGGAGCUUUGAUCCCAGCAGGAGGUCCACCAAAUCUGCAAGGAGGGGCAUCCGUCAGUUCCCAUCUACUCCUGCCACCAACUUUCUGGGGUGGUGACAAUGCAGGGUCCUCAGAAGGUCUAGAGCUCACAGGCUAUGGUGGCUCCUGGGCCCGGACUGGAACUGGGGAGGGAGGGAGGUUUUGGAUGGACUGGGGUCUGGACAGAGGACAGGGAUGCUCCAAGUCCCCCUCUGGAGGAAUCUAAGCAUAGGCUGUGACCUAGAGUUCCCCAUUCUUCAGGUUGCCUUUGACGGCCUGGUAAUGGGUCAACAUUGGGACUCUGGGGAAGUUGAGGUACCCCAGGAAGGAAGACCAGAUGCUCACUCUGGUGCCUUUCACUGCAGCCAGGGACGCGGGAAGCAGCAGCUGAAAAGACACCCAGGGCUGGACAGGCCAGGCCUGACUGUGCCCACCUCCCAGGGGACAGGGCUGGUCUCCUCCCCAGGGUCUGGCUCUCUGAUUCUACUUCUGCCCUCCUUGCCCAAGGGAAGUGCUCAAGGCACCCAGCCUGCCCUGGGCCUGCCUCCUAGCCCCCUGCCCCAUUGGCUGUAACCAACUCCACACUGCGGCAGGCUGCCCUUGUUGACUCUGGCCCCCAUGGACCUGGCCCUGAGCCCCUUUCUUGCCUCCUCGGAGCCACGGCCAGCCCUCCAGAGCCCCAUGUGGGCGUCUCCUGUGGGGCGGAGGAAGGUGUGUGCCCCUGUAGGCAGGGCGGCAGGUGUGGGUUAGGGCAAGGGAAGCCAGUCCUCUUAGCUCGCACUGUCCUGGUGGCUGAGAGAGUUCUUGGAAUGAAAGACCUUCCUGUGAACCCCAGAAUUGCUGAGAGGGAGGGCUGCUGCUGCCCCACCCCACCUGCAUGCAGCCUUGUUCACCGAGCUCUGUGGCUGGUUGCAGGAAAGGAGGGUUUACUGCACAGACGAGGGGUGGCCCAUGGGCUGAGGGCAGGAGACAAAGCUCAGCCAGGUGCCUAGGACCUGGACAGCAGAGGCCACUCCUGGCUGCCCUGGAACUGCACUCUCUUCUUGCUUUCCCUUGGGCAUCUUUUCUAGGCACCCGCCUCCUCCCCAUGGUGGAGCACCAGGGCUCAGUUAGGCUUCCAGUCAGCCCAACCCAUUCAGCCUCCAGGGUUCCAGUUCCCACAUCCGAACCCUGGUUUUGUCUGCACUGACAGCAGAGCCCUGCCCUGAGCAGAGCCCCCUGGGAAGAGCGUACCCGCUCACUUGCAGCAGUCAGCUCUGGGGGCAGCAAGGCUCGAGGAAGGGAGGAUGAAGUUGAGCUGUGGACUCUGGGACGCAGCCGUUGAGCACUUAUGAUAAAACCAGAAGCAGCAGCAGGCGGAGGCCAGGCUCCCCUCCCCAGGCAGGGUUGAGGGGCUCUGCUAACAUCUGCCUCAUUGACUUCCUUGUGUCCACUUCAGAGAAUGGCCAUUCUGGCUUAAGGCAGUGACCUCUUCCUGUAUACCAGCAGUCCCUAAUUUGUUGGGUUUUUUUUGUCUGUUUUUUGUUUUUUGGUUUUUUUUUUUUUUUGAGAUGGAGUUUCGCUCCUGUUGCCCAGGCUGGAGUGCAGUGGUGCGAUCUCGGCUCACUGCAAACUCCGCCUCCCGGGUUCAAGCGAUUCUCCUGCCUCAGCCUCCCCAGUAGCUGGGAUUACAGGUGUCCACCACCAUGCCUGGCUAAUUUUUUUGUAUUUGUAGUAGAGACAGGGUUUCACCAUGUUGGCUAGGAUGGUCUCGAACUCCUGACCUCAGGUGAUCCACCCACCUCAGCCUCCCAAAGUGCUGGGAUUACAGGUGUAAGUCACCGUGCCCAGCCAGCAGUCCCUAAUUUAAGGGCUGUCAGCACACUGCUCAUCUCCCUGGUCUGACCUCACCGUCUGCCUUUCUGAGAGCAAUCUCAUCUCCUUUCUGAAUACAUGGUGGGGGAUCCUCAGCAGAGCCCCCCUGUUCCAGCGUUGUUGAAGACAACUUUUAGGACAUCAAUGCAGGGACAGUGGGAGUUCAGGCAUGCUAAGGGCCGAGGCUAAUUAGCUUGGGGUGAGUUUCAUCGUGUGGGUGUGUCUUAGUCAGUUCUGGGCUGCUGCAACAAAACCCCUUAGAUUGGGUGAUUGAUAAACAACAGAAACUUAUUGCUCAUAGUUCUGGAGGCUGCGAAGUCCAAGAUCAAGGUGCCAACAGAUUCAGAGUCUGGUGAGGGCUUGCUCUCUGCUUCAGAAAUGCUGCCUUCUUGCUGUGUCCUCACACAGUGGAAAGGGCAUGGGAACUAGCUGCAGCCUCUUCUUCUUUCUUCUUUUUUUUUUUCUUUUUUUUUUUUUUGGAGACAGAGUCUCGCCCUGUCCCCUGUCACCCAGGCUGGAGUGCAGUGGCGUGAUCUUGGCUCACUGCAACCUCUGCCUCUUGGGCUCAAGCAAUUCUGCCUCAGCCUCCCGAGUAGCUGGGACUACAGGCGUCCACUGCCACGCCCAGCUAAUUUUUUGUAUUUUAGUAGAGACAAUCUGCCUGCCUCGGCCUCCCAAAGUGCUGGGAUUACAGGCGUGAGCCACCAUGCCCGGUCAGCCUCUUAUAUAAGGACACUAAUCCCAUCCACAGGGUGAGAUCCUCAUGAUUUGAUCAUGUCCCAAAGACCCUACUUCUUAAUAUUCUCACACUGGAUAUCAAGUUCCAACAUAAGAAUUUGGGGGGGGGGGUACUAACAUUAAAACCUUGAUAGGGUCUAAGAGGCCCGUCCUCGAGGCCAUGGUCCUAAGAUGGGCAGAGCUGCCCAUAGACCACUGUGCCAAGCCCCCUGGUUGGGUGACAUCACAGGUACAUCUGGGUUGGGAGGGGCGCCAGGUUCCAUGUAGCCCAGAGAUCCCCAUCAUUCCUUGCUUCAAGCCAGAGGUUGGUCGGAGGUGACAGCAGCCUGGUGGAGUGCCGUGUGGGUGCUGAUGCUCAUGCUCCCAGACCUGCAGGGCAGGUCUGUUUGAGGUCACUGUUGCAAUGCGCAUUUUGAAUAUUUUCAGCUGUAUGUGCAUGGCAGGGGCUUGGCCCAUGCACUGCAUAUGUAGCUCAUACUUGGUGAGCUGUGUAAUGUGUAGAGGUGUUGCCAAGGGCAGCGGAAAUGUGGCCUUUUUCCAGCAUAAUCAUGAGUCCUACCACUACCUGUCCCUGCCCCUGCGGCCAGGACAGCUCCCACCCCUGGAGUUGCUGAGAUCUGCUGGGGGUGGAAGGACAAGGGCUGGUUGCUUUGUCCUGACUGACCACUGUCCAUUGCUCUAUCCCUCUGGACUCCCGGCAGCAAGGUGUCCAGAGGAAGGUACCUUUCAGGGCUUUGCCCUUGGUGUUAGGCAGUUAAGCAGGUCCCCUUCAGGACCGUGUGGCAGUGCCUGGAGAAGCACAGGGGGCUGCUUUGGAUGCCAUGCCUGGUUUCCAGGGCAUUCACUGAUGGGGGAAAGCUCAGAGACCAGAGAGGGUUGGGCAGGGCUCACUGGCCCUUCUGCUAUGACCCCAGGGAGUGAGAAGGCCCCCUGGGAGGCCUCUGCAGGAAGUCUAAGGCUAGGCCUUCUCCAGCCAGCUCUUUCUCUAGCCUCUUCUCAGCAAACUUGAGACUCUGCCAGCUCUGCCCUUCUGCCUGGCCCUGAGCAGAGGCCCAACAUCCCCAAAAUCUUCAAGAUGAAUUGUAUUAGCUUCUAGGGCUGCCAGAACAAAGUACCACAGACCGAGUGGCUGAAACCACAGAAAUGUAUUUCUCACAGCUCUGGAGUCUGGAAGUCCAAGAUCAAGGUGUCGGUAGGGUUGCUUUCCUCCAAGUCCUCUCCUGGCUUGUAGAUGGCCACCUUCUCGUGUCCUUACAGGGUCUUCCCUCUGUGUGUCUGUGUCCUCAUCUCCUCUUACAAGGACACAGGUCAUAGGGCCCACCCUAAUGACCUCAUCUUAAUUAUACUUAACAUUUUUAAAAAUUUUAAUGGGUAGUUAAUUAUACUUUAAAGACCCUAUCUCCAAGUAAAGUCACCCUGUGAAGUCCAGGGGGUUAAGGUGUAAGGUUUCAACAGAGGAAUUUGUUGGGACACCAUUCAGCACACAGCACCAACAGAUGCUCGGAGCCUGGGAUCAAAGCUGAGCUCUCCUGGAGCCCCAGCCCAGGGUGCCUUCUGCAGCAUCCUUGUUGGGCUGCUCCAGCCCAUGCUGGCUGGGGACACCACAGCUGUACAAGGGGUCCGAGGUGUCCAGCACGGCAGAAACAGCCAUAUCCCGAGCUCAUUCGUAUUCAGCUCAGUCCUGGGGAGAGGAAAGCGGGGCUCUCAGGGAUGCUGGGGGUGGCUCCCCCAUUGCUUAGCUAAGGGGCACUCAGUUGCCACGGUGACCUCUGUCUGCACAGUCAAAUACACUCGGCCCAGCCACUUCUCUGGGCUGGAGGGCUCCCCCCACCCAGAGUUCACACUGAGUGUUGAGUCCCUUGGUGACAAAAACAUGGAAACGGUUGCCAUGGCAGCCAUUCUUUGGAGCCCUCAGACUGGAGUGCAAAGUUCAGGAUGCCCAGGAACAGCUGAAAUGAAAAUACGGGAAAAUCCGCUUCCCUCACCCUGGAAGGAUGACUCGGUUGGCAUUCAGUGCUCUCCUGCACUCGGCUGUCCCUGCCCUCCCCAUCCCCUGGUCCAUGUGUGGGUGCAGGGGGGUGCCCUCGGAGUGCAGGAGCAGAGUGGCCCCCAGAGACGUUGACAGAAGCCAGCCAGCAUAGGAGGGCAGGCUCAGCUGGGGUGGUUCCAUUGUCUGGAGUGAAAUGACAUCUGGUAACAUUUGUCCUCUGAGUCAAUGACAUCGGCACCACUUGUGAGAAAUGCAUAUUCUAGGGCCUCACCCAGAUCUGUUCAAUCUGAAGCUCUGGGGCGGGGCCCAGCAGUGUAUUUUCACAAGCCGGCCAGGGGAUUCUGAUGCAUGCUCCAUUUGGGGAAGUCCUUCUACUAGGGAAAAUACUGGCAGAGAA